UCGUGCUUGACAGGGACCGCGCGGGUCGACAGUACGCGAGGCCCAAAGUUCGGGUGAUCUGAAUCGGUGAGCCCUGCUCCAGCUGCUGAUGGUGUGGCUGAAGAGGAUGUGGCCCAGGAUCUUCCCCGUGCCCCAACACCUCAUGCCGCAGCUGCGAGAUGGGGGCAACCGGCAGGCCGAGGCG